rnacentral:rRNA from 1 species
CAUGGCUGUCGUCAGCUCGUGUCGUGAGAUGUUGGGUUAAGUCCGUAACGAGCGCAACCCUUGUCCUUAGUUACCAGCACGUUAUGGUGGGCGACUCUAAGGAGACUGCCGGUGACAAACCGGAGGAAGGUGGGGAGUGACGUCAAGUCAUCAUGGCCCUUACGGCCUGGGCUACACACGUGCUACAAUGGUCGGUACAAAGGGUUGCCAAGCCGCGAGGUGGAGCUAAUCCCAUAAAACCGAUCGUAGUCCGGAUCGCAGUCUGCAACUCGACUGCGUGAAGUCGGAAUCGCUAGUAAUCGUGAAUCAGAAUGUCACGGUGAAUACGUUCCCGGGCCUU